AGUGAACGCUGGCGGUAGGCCUAACACAUGCAAGUCGAACGGCAGCACAGUAAGAGCUUGCUCUUACGGGUGGCGAGUGGCGGACGGGUGAGGAAUACAUCGGAAUCUACUUUUUCGUGGGGGAUAACGUAGGGAAACUUACGCUAAUACCGCAUACGACCUACGGGUGAAAGCAGGGGAUCUUCGGACCUUGCGCGAUUGAAUGAGCCGAUGUCGGAUUAGCUAGUUGGCGGGGUAAAGGCCCACCAAGGCGACGAUCCGUAGCUGGUCUGAGAGGAUGAUCAGCCACACUGGAACUGAGACACGGUCCAGACUCCUACGGGAGGCAGCAGUGGGGAAUAUUAGACAAUGGGCGCAAGCCUGAUCCAGCAAUACCGCGUGGGUGAAGAAGGCCUUCGGGUUGUAAAGCCCUUUUGUUGGGAAAGAAAAGCAGCAGGUUAAUACCCCGCUGUUCUGACGGUACCCAAAGAAUAAGCAACGGCUAACUUCGUG
rnacentral:rRNA from 1 species